GGCUGAAAUUACGCCUUCAUGAAGCCGGAAUUGCUAGUAAUCGCGGAUCAGCAUGCCGCGGUGAAUACGUUCCCGGGCCUUGUACACACCGCCCGUCACACCAUGGGAGCCGGUAAUACCCGAAGUCAGUAGUCCAACCUCGUGAGGACGCUGCCGAAGGUAGGAUUGGCGACUGGGGUGAAGUCGUAACAAGGUAAC
rnacentral:rRNA from 1 species